GAUGAACGCUGGCGGCGUGCCUAAUACAUGCAAGUCGAGCGAACAGAUGAGGAUCUUGCUCCUCUGACGUUAGCGGCGGACGGGUGAGUAACACGUGGAUAACCUACCUAUAAGACUGGGAUAACUUCGGGAAACCGGAUCUAAUACCGGAUAAUAUAUUGAACCGCAUGGUUCAAUAGUGAAAGACGGUUUUGCUGUCACUUAUAGAUGGAUCCGCGCCGCAUUAGCUAGUUGGUAAGGUAACGGCUUACCAAGGCAACGAUGCGUAGCCGACCUGAGAGGGUGAUCGGCCACACUGGAACUGAGACACGGUCCAGACUCCUACGGGAGGCAGCAGUAGGGAAUCUUCCGCAAUGGGCGAAAGCCUGACGGAGCAACGCCGCGUGAGUGAUGAAGGUCUUCGGAUCGUAAAACUCUGUUAUUAGGGAAGAACAAAUGUGUAAGUAACUAUGCCCGUCUUGACGGUACCUACUCAGAAAGCCACGGCUAACUACGUG
rnacentral:rRNA from 1 species